GACGAACCGUGCGAACGUUGUUCGGAAUCACUGGGCUUAAAGGGCGCGUAGGCGGGCUGCCAAGUCCGGGGUGAAAUCUUUCGGCUCAACCGGAAAAGUGCCUUGGAUACUGGCGGCCUUGAGGGAGGUAGGGGUAUGUGGAACUUCCGGUGGAGCGGUGAAAUGCGUAGAGAUCGGAAAGAACACCAACGGCGAAAGCACUCUGCUGGGCCGACACUGACACUGAGAGACGAAAGCUAGGGGAGCGAAUGGG
rnacentral:rRNA from 1 species